rnacentral:rRNA from 1 species
AGAGUUUGAUCAUGGCUCAGGAUGAACGCUGGCGGCGUGCCUAAUACAUGCAAGUCGAGCGAACGGACGAGAAGCUUGCUUCUCUGAUGUUAGCGGCGGACGGGUGAGUAACACGUGGAUAACCUACCUAUAAGACUGGGAUAACUUCGGGAAACCGGAGCUAAUACCGGAUAAUAUUUUGAACCGCAUGGUUCAAAAGUGAAAGGCGAUCUUGCUGUCACUUAUAGAUGGAUCCGCGCUGCAUUAGCUAGUUGGUAAGGUAACGGCUUACCAAGGCAACGAUGCAUAGCCGACCUGAGAGGGUGAUCGGCCACACUGGAACUGAGACACGGUCCAGACUCCUACGGGAGGCAGCAGUAGGGAACCUUCCGCAAUGGGCGAAAGCCUGACGGAGCAACGCCGCGUGAGUGAUGAAGGUCUUCGGAUCGUAAAACUCUGUUAUUAGGGAAGAACAUAUGUGUAAGUAACUGUGCACAUCUUGACGGUACCUAAUCAGAAAGCCACGGCUAACUACGUGCCAGCAGCCGCGGUAAUACGUAGGUGGCAAGCGUUAUCCGGAAUUAUUGGGCGUAAAGCGCGCGUAGGCGGUUUUUUAAGUCUGAUGUGAAAGCCCACGGCUCAACCGUGGAGGGUCAUUGGAAACUGGAAAACUUGAGUGCAGAAGAGGAAAGUGGAAUUCCAUGUGUAGCGGUGAAAUGCGCAGAGAUAUGGAGGAACACCAGUGGCGAAGGCGACUUUCUGGUCUGUAACUGACGCUGGUGUGCGAAAGCGUGGGGAUCAAACAGGA